CCUUUUUCUGUCCAUCUCUCUCUCGCUAUCCCUCUUUCUGUCCAUCUCUCUCUCUCUCGCUAUCCCUCUUUCUAUCCAUCUCUCACUCGCUAUCCCUCUUUCUUUCUUUCCAUCUCUUUGUUCUGGAAUGGACGUCCCAAAGAAAGAGUAUGUGAUGUUCCGUUUCUACAAAAACAAAUCUAGGCGGAUGUAGGUUCUGAACGAUACAGCUCUGAUGAGGGUUUUUUGGCUCAGUGGUUGAAGAACGCAAUAAGACUUUUUUACUUUAAGUUUUCGUCAGGAAAGGACUUGUAGCCCUUGGAAGUCAGUUGCGUAACAACAAGAUAUGGAGGAUGGUGUAUGUAUGAUGUAUAUACGUAUGUUUGUGUGUAAAUAAGAAGACAUUUAACGCUUGCUUUUACCCCUCUAUAUAUGUUCCCUUGGAGAGAAAAGAAAACAAACCAAAAUUAAAACGAGCCAAAAUACUUUUUUUUGUCAAAUACACGAUUGCUUGUAGGCUUUGUGGCUGGCAUUAGAUUGAUAUAGUUCAGUUGAAAUGGAACAUCGUGAUACUCAGGGUAAGAUGGGAGCGGCCAUCUUAGCAUAUCAAACCAUUGCAGAAAAUGACAUGGGAGGGCCAAUUAAAAAAGGGCAUUGUCAGUGCCAGUAAGUCAAAGCCAUUCUGUCUAUUACGACACUUUCCAUUUCGAACAUUAAAUGUUACAAAUAUUCUGUUAAUUUAUUUUACAAAUGUAAAAAGAUCAAAUUAGAAACAUUGAACAUCUUUAGAAGCUUUAAAAAAAAAAAAUUGUUUGACGGUUGAGUUGAAGUAGCUAAAGUAGCCUAAUGUAAUUAGCAUGGAGUUGUAAGUAACAAGAACAUUUCCCAGGACAUAGACAUAUCUGAUAUUGGAAAAAAAAUAAAAAAUUCUUGUUAAUCUAACUGCACUGUCCAAUUUACAGAAGCUAUUACAAUGAAAUAAUACCAUGCUAUUGUUUGAAGAAAGUGCACAGUUGUGAACUUAAAAAUGUAUUAAUAAACCAAAUAAGAAAAUUUGGGCAGUCUUAAAACAAAAUGUUGAACAAAAAUGCAAUGGUUCAUUGGAUCCGUCUAAAACGUUGCACAAACACUGCUGCCAUCUAGUGGCCAAAAUCUCAAUUGCACCUGGGCUUUAAUAAUACAUUAUGGCCUUUCUAUUGCAUUUAAAAAAUGAUGGUACGAAAAAGUACAAAUGAAACGCAUGUUGUUUUCUUUGUAUUAUCUUUUCCCAGAUUUAAUAUGUUAUAUUCUCCUACAUUAACUUAACAUUUUCACAAACUUCAAAGUGUUUCCUUUCAAAUGUUAUCAAUAAUAUGCAUAUCCUUGCUUCAGGUCCUGAGCUACAGGCAGAUAGAUUUGGGUAUGUCAUUUUAGGCAAAAAAUACUUUGAGGAAGUAAAGACUAUUCCCCAGGUGUUCAAGGUGUAAACUGAUCCAGAGUCAGGUCCUGAGCUACAGGCAGAUAGAUUUGGGUAUGUCAUUUUAGGCAAAAAAUACUUUGAGGAAGUAAAGACUAUUCCCCAGGUGUUCAAGGUGUAAACUGAUCCAGAGUCAGUCAGCCUGGUGCCUUUGGUGUCAGAAGUGGGAUCUUACUCUAAUCCCAUUAUAGCCAUGGUUAGAACUAGGGCAUCUGACUCAGAAUGGCAUGUAUGUGACCGGUGUAUCCUUUUCUUCUGAGAUUAAAAACAAAGGAACCUUUGAUGUAUGAUGUACACAUAAUACCUCAUUGCUGUUGUAUAAUUAAUUUGAUCGAGAAAAAAAAAAUGUGAUUUUUUUAUUUUUUCAUUGUACGCUUACAGAAUACAAAUGGAUCAACAUCUUAUUGCUACUGUACCAUGAAUCUGUAAAUAUUACUACUUUUCUUUUCAACACAGACACCCCCCCCCCCCCCCCCCCCCCCCCCGCCCAACACCCCCCUACAGUAAAAAAAAAAACAGUCAAAUGGGAGAGUUGUUUUUAUAUACAUAUUCUAUUUUUGCUUUUGUGUCUUUUGUCCAGUGCUCUUUUAAUGGAUAAAUGAUUGUUCUGUUUUGCUUUGUCUUUGCUAUUCUGUGUGUGAGAGAUCGAUUCGUGUAGAUAAAUGCUAUUUAAAUAAUUUAUCAGGAUUCGCUGCCUGCGGAAGGGGGCGUGUCCGUAUAUGUAUAAACGGUUUGCACACUGACAUGAGGAUGUUCUGUUUAUCGUUUAUGUUGUUAUUUUUACCGUUAUUUUUGUACAAUUUAGUGAGGCUUGUUGUCUGUAAACAUUUUUACUUAGUUGUGCAGUGUUUUUAAAAAAUGAUGUUUUUAUCCAUAGCAAUUAUUUUGUUACAUAUACUUCAGAAACAAUAAAUAGUUGUUGAAAUCCA